UAAACACUUGUCUUGUGAAACUGCGAAUGGCUCAUUAUAUCAGUAUAUGAUUUCUUUGAUGGUGGCGAAAGCACAUGGCAUACCUGUGUCGAAACGUAGAGCUGAUACAUGCGCAAGACCCCGCGUGGGAGGGUAAGCAUUUAUUAGAUACCAACCAUCCCGGGCCUCGUGUCCNGUGCGGCUGACUCAUGAUAACUGUGCGAACCACACGACCCUGGUUGUCGGUGGGACAUCAUUCAGAUUUCUGCCCUAUCAGCCUUUCGAUGGCAGUGUCACUGGACUGCCAUGGCUUUCACGGGUGACGGCAGAAUUGNGGUUCGAUUCCGGAGAGGGAGCCUGAGAAAUGGCUACCACAUCCAAGGAUGGCAGCAGGCGCGUAAAUUGCCCAAUCCUGACACAGGGAGGCAGUGACAAGAAAUAACAACGCAGGGGCCUCUGGCCUUUGCGCAUGGACUGAGAACAAGUUAAAUCUCUUAUCAAAAGCCAUU
rnacentral:rRNA from 1 species